GAUAAAUUCCCUUCUUAUGGAUAUUGUCAUUUUCUGUUCAAUUGAAGAUAAUUCAAACAAUUAGACAGAUAAAAAAAAGAAAAGGAAACAUCAAGAAGAUGACCGUAAUUUAUUCAUAACAGAGCUGGUGAAGCAGAAUGCCUAAUUAAGAUAGAUUACUAUAAGUGUCCAACGUAAAAUGAUAAACACCGUUGAUAAUUAUAUGGAAUUGUAUUUGUGUUUGCUGAAACUCUUUGGCUAGCUAUUAACUAGUGCCAUGUAGGCUCGAUCCAACCACGGAAGAUCAGUUUUUACUCAGGCACUCGUAAUCCUUUAGUGAACCUUCAUUCACGGAAGAGUAAUACAUUCCUGUUCUAGGAGAAUAUGACAAAGUCGGAUAGCCCAUAAUAUCUAGGAAAGUAGAUUUUCCCUCCCAUUUCCCGGGGGGUUUUGCCACUGCUGAGGAGGCCGUGAACCGUUAAGAUACAACGUACGGUUUCCCAGACUCUCGACUCUCUCCCAACAUUGUAGAGCGAUUCAACCUGAAAAACUUGUACCCGUGUUCCCUGACAAAACACCGGAGGAGUUAUCCUUCACUCUCAAAUAAGUAGUUCUGUUUGGAAGGUUUGCAGCAAGGUUUCCGGGGAUUUUCUAGAACUUCCCAAUGGCAACCACCCUGAUCACCUUAUUCUAAUCUGAAACCUCCGAGUCUCCUGUUCUUUCCCAUAAAGUAAAAGCCGCUGUUGGUGAAAAUUGGAACACUGAAACUUGGCCAGAAACCUAGAUCGAUUCCAAUACAAAUCCAUUCCUCCUCCCUUGAACGACUAAUAAAAACUUAUUUGU
rnacentral:lncRNA from 1 species